rnacentral:rRNA from 1 species
GAGGAAUAAGCAUCGGCUAACUCCGUGCCAGCAGCCGCGGUAAUACGGGGGAUGCAAGCGUUAUCCGAAAUCAUUGGGCGUAAAGCGCCUGUAGGUUGUUUAUUAAGUCUGUUGUUAAAGCCUAGGGCUUAACCCUAGAACAGCAAUGGAAACUGGUAAACUUGAGUAUGGUAGGGGUAGAGGGAAUUUCUAGUGUAGCGGUGAAAUGCGUAGAUAUUAGAAAGAACACCAGUGGCGAAAGCGCUCUACUGGACCAUUACUGACACUCAGAGGCGAAAGCUAGGGUAGCAAAAGGGAUUAGAUACCCCUGUAGUCCUAGCCGUAAACGAUGGAUACUAGAUGUUGCGCUUAUAGUGCAGUAUCGUAGCUAACGCGUUAAGUAUCCCGCCUGGGGAGUACGCUCGCAAGGGUGAAACUCAAAGGAAUUGACGGGGGCCCGCACAAGCGGUGGAGCAUGUGGUUUAAUUCGAUGCAACGCGAAGAACCUUACCAGGGCUUGACAUACUGCGAAUCUCUUUGAAAGAAGAGAGUGCCUUCGGGAAUGCAGGUACAGGUGGUGCAUGGCUGUCGUCAGCUCGUGUCGUGAGAUGUUGGGUUAAGUCCCGCAACGAGCGCAACCCUUGUUUUUAGUUACUAAUUUAUUUAGGUUUUCUAGAAAGACUGCCGGUGACAAACCGGAGGAAGGUGAGGAUGACGUCAAGUCAGCAUGCCCCUUAUGUCCUGGGCCACACACGUGCUACAAUGGUUAAGACAAAGAGUCGCAAAUUCGCAAGGAUAAGCUAAUCUCAUAAACUUAGCCUAAGUUCAGAUUGUAGGCUGCAACUCGCCUGCAUGAAG